ensembl:lncRNA
CAGUUUCUAACACUGAAUGGCAGGGCUGGCAUUCUGUCCAACAGGUUUCACCCCUGCCAAGAUCCUAUAUUUCCAGACCUAGUUCUAACACUGGAUUGUUCUACUUGGUUGUGUGAACAUUUUGCAACAUUUCAACUAGUCAAAUAUGUACUCACACUGCUGUUUUGUCAUCUGAAUCAAGAAGGUCUCCAUUCCCUUUGUAAACAUACCCAAAACCUGUUAGAUGGAACGUUAUGUGGGGAAAAAUCAUGGUUUGACACUAGCACACUGCAUACACCUUGCCGUUCAUCGUACCAAAUCUGCUUCAUGAGAGGCACAAGUCCAUGGCUGUUUGAUAUCUUUGCUCAAAACAGGAACUCCAAACAUCUUUCCUUAUUAAGGGAAGAAAUAUUAAUGAUUAACAUUGGGAAUAAAAAUGCCAACUGAAGAAAAGUUUGUGAAUACAGGGGUUUUUUUGCUGAAGAUACUGACAAAGUUGGGAUUAUUUUAUUGGAUCCCAUCCAGGAUGCUACAUUACAUCUUGUCAUACCUUCUUGAGUUCCUCUCGACUGUGAAGUAACAAACUUGAAUUGUUUUUGAGGUCUUUAACAUUUUUGAGGAGUGCAGUAAAGUAUAUUAUAGAAGCCUCUCUACUAGAUUUGUUUGAUAUUUUCCAGACUGAUUAGAUUGGAGUGAUGGGAAAGAUCAUGACAUUUGAAGAAUCCAUGCUUUCAACAUGCUCUCACUGUUGAUAGUGACAAUCACCUGAAUGGGGUGAUGUUUCAGGAUUCUCCCCUAUUAAGCUACCUUUUUUGUA